rnacentral:rRNA from 1 species
CUACGGGGGGCACCAGUGGGGAAUUUUGCGCAAUGGGGGAAACCCUGACGCAGCAAUACCGCGUGAGUGAAGAAGGCCUUUGGGUCGUAAAGCUCUUUUCUUGGGGAAGAUAGUGACGGUACCCAAGGAAUAAGCACCGGCUAACUCCGUGCCAGCAGCCGCGGUAAUACGGAGGGUGCAAGCGUUGUUCGGAUUUACUGGGCGUAAAGGGCACGUAGGCGGCACAGCAAGUUAAGGGUGAAAUCCCGGGGCUCAACUCCGGAACUGCUCUUAAAACUGCUGAGCUAGAGAUAGUCAGAGGCGGGUGGAAUUCCAGGUGUAGAGGUGAAAUUCGUAGAUAUCUGGAGGAACACCGGUGGCGAGGGCGGCCCGCUGGGGCUAUUCUGACGCUAAGGUGCGAAAGCGUGGGGAGCAAACGGGAUUAGAUACCCGGGUAGUC